rnacentral:ncRNA from 1 species
UUGAGCCGUGUGCGAUGAAAGUCGCACGCACGGUUCUUAGGGGGGAGGGAUUCCGGUAACGGGUCCUUCCUACCCUCC